rnacentral:misc_RNA from 1 species
GCCGAAAGUGUGAAGCCAGGUAUUGGACUUUUACAGUAUUUGUUUCAUUUUUCAAUACUGUUAUACACAAGGCUGUAGUUAACUACAAGAACUAGUAAUCACAGUAAGUUUUGAUAUGUUUCAAAUAUGAUUCAGGAAUGGCUCUCUAUGACCUGCAAGAUAACCUUUUUUCUUUUUUAAUCUAGAAAGCCUUUUAAUGGUCUUCUCUGAUUUAUAGCACAUCUUGAAUUGAGUUGAUUACUUAUCCUUGUGCCACGCAAACUAAAUGUAAUAGUGACAUUGCUAAUUUCAUUACUCUUCCCAAGAUUUGUCUCCAUAUGACUA